rnacentral:rRNA from 1 species
UGAAGCGGAGCAAAUACUCAAAAACCGGUACCCAGUUCGGAUUGUAGGCUGCAACUCGCCUACAUGAAGUCGGAGUUGCUAGUAAUCGCGGAUCAGAAUGCCGCGGUGAAUGCGUUCCCGGGUCUUGUACACACCGCCCGUCACACCAUGGGAGUCGGAAAUGCCCGAAGUCUGUGACCCAACCUACGGGAGGGAGCAGCCGAAGGCAGGUCGGAUGACUGGGGUGAAGUCGUAACAAGGUACC